rnacentral:lncRNA from 1 species
AUUCUUUAUUGCCAUGUCCUCCAGUUCACAGUACAUGAACAACAUUUAGUCAAUUGACUUCCUGUGAGGGAAAGAACAGGUUUAGAGGUGGCAUCAUACUGAAAACAUGUUUUUGUGUUUUACAAUACAUUCCCUCAGUGUGCCACUGCCUGGUUAUGGUAACGUCAGCUCUUUAACUGGCUGAGCUGAGUGCAUAAUGUGUGCUACUGUUCUGACCUGAUGUGUGGCCCAGGCCUGCCGUAAACCUACACCAGGGAUAUGACUUCAUGUGUGCUUCUACUGGUAAUCAUGUACUCUAUUCUAUCUUGACAUUCCAGCUCUGUGUGGUAAGUAGGACAUAUACUGACACCAUGGUUUCCUGUAAGGAUGGUGUCAUGACAUAAAAGGCAAACCAAUGAGGAUAACAGGAAAACACUUCAUUUAUCCGUGCUCUUACAGCAUGGAGGGGUGGAGGCAACAUCCACAUGUCUCUACCAGGGAUCUUUCUCAUAGGUUUACUAUUGGCUGGGUGGAGAUCAUUUUCCAGCUGAAGUAGCCUACAGCAGGUGAGUGAAUGGCCUAUUGAAUUGUUCUGUGUCAGGUGUCAGACAUACAUUCUGUGUUAGGUGUCAGACAUACGUUCUGUGUUAGGUGUCAGACAUACGUUCUGUGUUAGGUGUCAGACAUACGUUCUGUGUCAGGUGUCAGACAUAUGUUCUGUGUUAGGUGUCAGACAUACGUUCUGUGUCAGACAUACGUUCUGUGUUAGGUGUCAGACAUACGUUCAGUGUCAGGUGUCAGACAUACGUUCUGUGUCAGACAUACGUUCUGUGUUAGGUGUCAGACAUACGUUCUGUGUCAGACAUACGUUCUGUGUCAGGUGUCAGACAUACGUUCUGUGUCAGGUGUCAGAUAUACGUUCUGUGUCAGGUGUCAGACAUACGUUCUGUGUCAGGUGUCAGACAUACGUUCUGUGUUAGGUGUCAGACAUACGUUCUGUGUCAGGUGUCAGACAUACGUUCUGUGUUAGGUGUCAGACAUACGUUCUGUGUCAGACAUACGUUCUGUGUUAGGUGUCAGACAUACAUUCUGUGUCAGGUGUCAGACAUACGUUCUGUGUCAGACAUACGUUCUGUGUUAGGUGUCAGACAUACGUUCUGUGUCAGGUGUCAGACAUACGUUCAGUGUCAGGUGUCAGACAUACGUUCUGUGUCAGGUGUCAGACAUACGUUCUGUGUUAGGUGUCAGACAUACGUUCUGUGUCAGACAUACGUUCUGUGUCAGGUGUCAGACAUACGUUCUGUGUCAGACAUACGUUCUGUGUCAGGUGUCAGACAUACGUUCUGUGUUAGGUGUCAGACAUACGUUCUGUGUCAGGUGUCAGACAUACGUUCUGUGUUAGGUGUCAGACAUACGUUCUGUGUUAGGUGUCAGACAUACAUUCUGUGUCAGGUGUCAGACAUACGUUCUGUGUCAGACAUACGUUCUGUGUUAGGUGUCAGACAUACGUUCUGUGUCAGGUGUCAGACAUACGUUCUGUGUCAGACAUACAUUCUGUGUCAGGUGUCAGACAUACGUUCUGUGUCAGGUGUCAGACAUACGUUCUGUGUCAGACAUACGUUCUGUGUCAGGUGUCAGACAUACGUUCUGUGUUAGGUGUCAGACAUACAUUCUGUGUCAGACAUACGUUCUGUGUCAGGUGUCAGACAUACGUUCUGUGUUAGGUGUCAGACAUACGUUCUGUGUUAGGUGUCAGACAUACAUUCUGUGUCAGAUAUACAUUCUGUGUCAGACAUACAUUCUGUGUCAGACAUACGUUCUGUGUUAGGUGUCAGACAUACGUUCUGUGUUAGGUGUCAGACACGUUCUGUGUUAGGUGUCAGACAUACGUUCUGUGUCAGGUGUCAGACAUACGUUCUGUGUUAGGUGCAGACAUACGUUCUGUGUCAGACAUACGUUCUGUGUCAGGUGUCAGACACGUUCUGUGUUAGGUGUCAGACAUACGUUCUGUGUCAGGUGUCAGACAUACGUUCUGUGUCAGGUGUCAGACAUACGUUCUGUGUUAGGUGCAGACAUACGUUCUGUGUCAGACAUACGUUCUGUGAUGCAUAAAUGGGUCUUCAAAGUGCACUCAAGAGUGUGAUUUGGAGGAUGGUUCAUACUUGUCCAAAUUAUUGUGGAAAGUUGUGUUUUUCUGCAUCGAAUUAUUAGAUUUUGAUAGGGUUGGAGAUACUGGUCUUUAACCAGUGCUAUACAGAAUAAUUCCCAAUAACCUAACAAAACCAAACACAAAUUUCAUAUCGUCUUCAUAUAUAACCCAUUUGACACUUUCCUGGGGUCCCUAACCCCAUCUUAUUGUAGGUCUUCUUUUAAAUGUAAUUAG